ACGGAGGGUGCAAGCGUUAUUCGGAAUUACUGGGCGUAAAGCGCGUGUAGGCGGCCCUGCAAGUCUGAUGUGAAAGCCCCGGGCUUAACCCGGGAAGUGCAUUGGAAACUGCAGGUCUUGAGUACUGGAGAGGAUAGGGGAAUUCCCGGUGUAGUGGUGAAAAUCGUAGAGAUCGGGACGAACAUCAGUGGCGACAGCGCCUCGCUGGAAGGUAACUGACGCUGUGGCGCGAACGCGUGGGGAGCAAACAG
rnacentral:rRNA from 1 species